CCCCAGGAAUGCUGACAGCCAUCCCGAGGGAGCCAGAGAGGGCAAUGUUAGGAUGAGGUUAACACCGUGGAAAGCAGAAAGAGAGGCAGGAACACGGUCUCCGGUGAGAUCACUGCGCUGCUGGAUUCAGCCUCACCUGAAGCAGGGGAGCCAAUGGCCUGUGGAGUCGAAGCACUGCGUUCCUUCCCUUGGGGCCUGCAGUGGCGUGUGGGCCAGGCAUCCAGGUGGGCUCAAGGCAUGCAUGCGCCCCCCACCCCUGCAGACCUGACUCCUUGGGGCACACAUGCACCUGGUCAAGGAGGAAGCCCUUGAGCAGUGCACAUUCUCACAGUUUCCCCGUAUACCCUGGAACAUAACAAUAGGUCCCUGGCUUGUUGUGAGGAGCCAGUGAGUGUAUCAAGCACAUA